rnacentral:rRNA from 1 species
GACGUAGGGCGCAAGCGUUGUCCGGAUUUAUUGGGCGUAAAGAGCUCGUAGGCGGCUUGUUGCGUCGUCCGUGAAAUCCCAUGGCUCAACUGUGGGCUUGCGGUCGAUACGGGCAAGCUGGAGUUCGGUAGGGGAGACUGGAAUUCCUGGUGUAGCGGUGAAAUGCGUAGAGAUCCGGAGGAACACCAGAGGCGAAGGCGGCCUACUGGGCUGCACCUGACGCUGAGCCGCGAAAGCCAGGGGAGCGAACGGG